GAACGCCCAGCUGAUGACGCAUGACGCAAAAUGAGGAAGUGAACUUUGUAGUAGGUGUUAGCAAAUGUUGUAUUUAUUUAUUUUUUUUUACCGUGGAGGAGGCACCUCGUGUAAUAAUACAGACUUAGAAAGUGGAACCAAAGAUACUGAACCAAAGAUGACUGAACCUUCACGUGCGAGCUCAAGUUUCACGACCUGGAUGGCACAUUUGGGUGCCAUUGCCUCAAUAAUCUGUGCGAUUGGAGGCGCAGCUCUCUUCGCCUCUGUACACAAGAUUGAGGAGGGACACACUGGAGUUUACUACAGGGGAGGAGCUCUCCUGACCACCACCAGUAACCCUGGGUUCCACCUCAUGAUGCCUUUCAUCACUAACUUCAAGUCUGUGCAGACCACUCUACAAACAGAUGAAGUGAAGAAUGUACCAUGUGGCACAAGUGGGGGAGUGAUGAUUUACUUUGACCGGAUAGAAGUGGUGAACUACCUGGUACCCUCAGCAGUGUAUGAUAUAGUGAGGAACUUCACAGCGGAUUACGACAAGGCCCUGAUAUUCAACAAGGUUCACCAUGAGCUCAACCAGUUCUGCAGCGUCCACUCUCUACAGGAGGUCUACAUCGGCUUGUUUGACCAGAUAGAUGAAAACCUGAAGCUGACCCUACAGGAGGAUCUGACCUCCAUGGCUCCUGGACUCAUCAUACAGGCGGUCCGAGUCACGAAGCCCAACAUCCCUGAGAGCAUUCGGAGGAACUACGAGAUGAUGGAGGCUGAGAAGACAAAGCUUCUGAUUUCUGCUCAGACUCAGAAGGUGGUGGAGAAGGAGGCGGAGACAGAGCGGAAGAGGGCUGUGAUCGAAUGUAAGGCUCACUUCCUGUCUCCUCCCUGUGCUGCUCUACAGAGGCAGAGAAGUUGGCUCAAGUGGCUGAAAUCAAGUUUAGCCAGAAAGUCAUGGAGAAAGAAACAGAGAAAAGGAUCUCUGAAAUUGAAGACGGAGCAUUCUUGGCUAAGAUGAAGGCCAGGGCCGAUGCAGAGUUCUACACAGCAGAGAGAGCGGCCGAGGCCAAUAAGUUGAAGCUGACGCCAGAGUAUCUGCAGCUUAUGAAGUUCCAGGCCAUAGCAGCUAACAGUAAGAUCUACUUUGGGAGUAAGAUCCCCCAGAUGUUUGUUGACUCUGGCCCCUCCUCCACUAAGGCCUCUGAUGCCAUGGACGUCCUAACUGGACAGUUCCUGGACCUAGACUGAUGGAGGGAUGGAAAGGAGUAGAGAGAAGAGACCCAUCCCAGGGCUGGAGCUAUGGAGCUGGGCCCAUGCCAGCCACAAGGUGGGGUGAAAGAUGAGCCUUGGGUUAUGUGUCCCAAAUGGAACCCUCUUCCCUAUAUAGUGCACUACUAUUUUUGAAGUAUCUGGCCAGUGAAAAUCUUAGUUUUAAAAGUUAAUAUUCUGUUAACUCAUACCAAAAUGUUUUUGACUUGUCUUAUUCAUAUUUGUGACCAAAAAACUUUAUACAUUUAAAAUUAAAAAAACACUUCAAAAACCCCACCUCAAACAGUCUGUUUAAAGAAAUAAAAUAAAUGCUUGCUAUUUCCUUAUAGAACAUGAUGUCAUGUUGGCUUAUUGGCUGAGUUGGCCAAUGAGCGGUCUACUAGCAAGAAUAUUUUUAAUGACCAGUAUACGGCCACACCAUUCUGUUGUUGGGUUACGCCCACACCAUUCAAACACAGGAAAACUGCUUUUUGACAUACUUAAUUGCCAUUUUUUGGAAGGAAAACUAUUUCACUCAUAUUGUUAUUAAUUAUAGGUCGUAUUUCAUAGAAGUCUGGUACACAGAUACUUUAAAGAGGCAAUCAGCAGUUGCUACAUUCAUUUUUGGAUUUAUACAUUAAUGAUAUGUACCUAUGGAUUAUUGAAGAAUAUAACUUAGAAAUGCCUCAUGAGCUUAGGUCAGCUGCCGUACACCAUCAGAACCCAAAAUAUACGCUUGUUUUACUCCAGUGUUUGUUAACAAAGUAAAUGUAAACAAACACUAUAUAGCCUCAACAUGACCCAUAGCUCUGUUUAUUCAUUUUAGUGGUUACAUUCUUCCAUCCCUCAUCUUUUUACCAAACAUUACAUGUUUUUUCUACUCCUGAUUGCCUUUUUAAAGCGCAACUGAAGGCAAACAACUUCUCGAAUAGAAAAUGGCAUAUGUGGCAUCUAUAUUAGUCAAACUUUUAUUCUAGUGUCAAAAUUUACUACGAAGUGUAAAUAGGAUCAUUUUGUUCAUAAAGUCAGUCUUGUCCAAAACUGAGUUUUGUAAGUGAGUUCUUUAUGACUUACUUAAGGGUUGGGUUUUGAUUUCGACAAUGCUCACUUGCCCACUAACACAGGGUUACACAGCUGCGGUGAUUGCCUCUAUCCAAUCCUACUGCAGAACACCCAGACAGUGAGACAUACCAGCCCAUUAGCAGGUAACCCGGUACCGGAUUAAAAAAUGAAUGGAAGUAUGGAGGUAGUUUUGUGCAAAAAGAAAAAGGGGUUAAAUAUGUGUCCAAAAAAACCUAAAUAUUUCCUGAACUUUCUUAUAUCUCCUAGAUAGGACAGACACUUCAAUACCUUAUUCCUUAUGAUUUCCUGUCUUUUUUCCAUUUAUGAAUGUGUUAUUCAGUGCAUUUCUAAAGCCCAAAUUAAAUAUUUAAUCAAAUUUUUGUAUAUAUUUUUUUGAUACCUACAGGGGCUUAAAAUUCCAAAUCAAAUGGCUAACUAAUCCAUGGUUUGACCAAUUCCAUGUCAGCUUAGUAGAACCCCUACCCAUAAGUGCACUACUACCCAUAAGGCUCUGGUCAAAAAUAGUACACUAUAUAGGGAAUAGGGUGCCUUUUGGGAUGCUACCCUGGACCGGAGGUUUUACUAGCCCUACAACAGACUAUCCUAAGACCGUAGGCGAAACAAUGAUAUAUUGAAUGUAACAGUGUGGUUUGGGACAUUUUAAACAUGAAUUGAACUUUUGCAAGUGUAUGAUGUAUGUUUUGUAACUUGAUUUCAUUGGUAGCGCUUUCAUGUCUUUUCUAUGUGUUGCAUAGCUCAUAAUACUGUAAGUGUAUGAGAGAUAUAGUUGUGUAUGAUUAACUACAUUAUUAAUGAUUAAUUUACUUAAUCAUACACAAUACAUUGUUUGGAAUACCUUGUUUCUUCAUACAGAUCCCUCUCCCAUAUGAAUUGGCUGACUGUCUUUACCUUUUCUCGCCAGGAUCUUAUCACAAUAGCAGAUGUAACAGAUCUUGACUAGCCCACUGAAUGAAUAUUACUUUACCUCCGUUUCAGAGAGUGAGCAUUGAUGUUCAAUCAUUUUUGGACUGAAGAAAAGUCAAGGUUGACUUGUUUUUCUCUCAAUUAUCUAUAAUUAUGCUGGACAAAAGGCCAUUAUAUUCAUGUCUGCUCUUGAGAGAGUGUCCUAGACACAACAGAGAGUAUCUGUUAGAAUUGAGAUGUUGAGAAACCAGCUUCUCCUUGAGUGGGAACAUUAUCCCAUGCUGGAACAGAGAGCGCAAUGGCUUCUCAGUCAGUAGUAGUCAUAGUAUGACGAAUACAGAUGAACAACUCUGAUAACGACACCUUGACAAACCACACUCCACUCAAAGCACUUUCUACUAGUGGUGUUUGGUCUCAUGCUUUGCCACUUGUUUUAAACCAUCCCAUUUUAUUUCCUGGUAUUGACUACAAAUGUUGUAGGAAUGGCACUGAACUACACAGAUGGAUACCUUUUCUGAAACUGAGGCAGACUGUGGGCUGAAACUCUCCUGGUCUUGUUUUGAUUGGGAAGGAAAGGGAAGGGGGGUGACAUCAGAAAAGGGAUGAGGUUUAUCUUCCGCAUCAAAUCUUUCUGGGAAUUGUGGAUUUGUGACAUAAUCUAAUUGUACAUUAUACAAAAAGUUCUACAUAAAAUACAAGCCUCACACUCAUUGAUUAACCAUCUUAACCCUCUGUUAUUGCCUAUCCCCAUGAUUUGGUGAAGGGGUGAUACCAACCAAAUCCAAUUCUAUUGGUAACAUACACAUAUUUAGCAGAUGUUAUUGUGGGUGUAGUGAAAUGCUUGUGUUCCUAGCUCCAACAGUGCAGUAGUAUCUUAACAAUUCACAACAAUACACACACAUCUAAAAGUAAAAGAAUGGAAUUAAGAAAUAAAUCAAUAUUAGGAUGACCAAUGUCGGAGUGGCAUUGACUAAAAUACAGUAGAAUAGAAUACAGUAUAUACAUAUGAAAUUAGUAAAGCAGUAUGUAAACAUUGUUAAAGUGACCAGUGACUCCAUGUCUAUGUACAUAGGGCAGCAGCCUCGUAAGGUACAGGGUUGAGUAACCGGGUGGAAGCCGGUUAGAGAGCGCUAUUUAACAGUCUGAUGGCCUGUCCAACCACUCCCAGUUCAGAAUUCGAGAAAGAGACAAAAGUUGCUAUUUUUAUUUCUAUCUGCUAGGCAUUUCAUGAUUUAUUUUUUCCCCCCUUGAUAUUGGAUAUUAAGAGCAUUACAGGUGCGUGCUUUAGCAGUACAUUUUAUUCUAAUUAGUCCUUUGUCUGCGGUUCAUGACAGAUCAUGUCCAUAGAUAUUAAUCUCGUCAUUGUGACGCAUGUUUCUUGAAGAUUGGACCAGAUAAAAUCCCAAUUGUGUUUUUUUAUUUUUUUAUUACAGUGAUUUCUUUACAGAAAAGCAAACAAAAGCAUUCUUAUUGGUAGGAUGAGUCAAUGGUAUAAACAUGCAAUGGGGUUUUCAUGAAAAAUGCAACAGCAGCUUUCUGAGUCUUUCACACACUGGUGCCCUCAGUGUCGUCUUAGACCGAGUUCAUUUGGGGUGAAUCAUUUGUAUGUUUUUCACCAACGCUUUGACUAAAGCAUUGACAACUCAUUUGAGAGGCACUUGUGUUGUAUCCAUUAAACUGUUCUCUCAACGUAACACUGGUUUGUUCUGGCUGAGUUAGCUUUGUUAGCUGUGUGAGUGACAACCUGUAUAAACGGUUUGUUUAGACUCUCUCAGGUUGACUUGACUGAUUAUGACUUGAAGGAGACUCUUUUGCACUCGAUCACUGAUGUUAAAUUGUGAAUCAGAAAUCCAGAAUUUUGUAAUUUACACAAUAAAAUGUGUUUUUCUUUGA